UACACUGAGUACACAGAAAAUGGCACAAUUUUAUCUUCAGGGUCUUUCUAUGUUUGUUCAACUCAUAAUCAUAUCAGAUUGCAGAGAAAGUCAUCAAAUAGCUAUGUCAGCCUCUCGGGAAGAAGAUGUUUUCCUCCCUUGCUGUAUACCGGCCAACCCAAGCCCACAGAGCUGCUACAGAGUUAAAUGGACAAAACGUGCCGUGGAUCACUCCACUAAACUGAGUGUUAUCCUUGCCAGGCCUGAAACACCCAAAUUCCCAGAUGCUGAACGUGUUAAGUGGGAAGGCAAUGGGAAGGAAAAUAUGUCUCUUUCUUUGACAAGAUUAGAUAAAUCUGAUGAGGGACAGUACAGCUGUGAAAUCUGGCAUGGAUGGGACUGUAUUCUGGUCAAAAACUUUUCUGUAAAAGUGAAAGACUGCAAAAGUCUUCAACCCGUGAGAGCAGCGCCCAGCACACCUGCUGCCUUGCAUUGUCCAGUGGACAAAACACCAGGACAACACCAGCCCCAAAAUGUCUCCUGGUCAAUCCUGAAAGGAGGCACUGAAAUCCCAAUAUUACAAUCCCCUGAUGUCAGCCAGCUGAGGGAAAGCUUUGGACUGGAUGGAUUAUCACUGAAUAUCACUUCUGUGAAGCUUGGCAACAGUGGUUGGUACAGGUGCAAGUACUUGCGUGGC